rnacentral:rRNA from 1 species
UCAGCCACACUGGAACUGAGACACGGUCCAGACUCCUACGGGAGGCAGCAGUGGGGAAUAUUGCACAAUGGGCGAAAGCCUGAUGCAGCCAUGCCGCGUGUAUGAAGAAGGCCUUCGGGUUGUAAAGUACUUUCAGUUGUGAGGAAGGGGGUAACGUUAAUAGCGUUAUCUCUUGACGUUAGCAACAGAAGAAGCACCGGCUAACUCCGUGCCAGCAGCCGCGGUAAUACGGAGGGUGCGAGCGUUAAUCGGAAUUACUGGGCGUAAAGCGCAUGCAGGUGGUUCAUUAAGUCAGAUGUGAAAGCCCGGGGCUCAACCUCGGAACUGCAUUUGAAACUGGUGAACUAGAGUGCUGUAGAGGGGGGUAGAAUUUCAGGUGUAGCGGUGAAAUGCGUAGAGAUCUGAAGGAAUACCAGUGGCGAAGGCGGCCCCCUGGACAGACACUGACACUCAGAUGCGAAAGCGUGGGGAGCAAACAGGAUUAGAUACCCUGGUAGUCCACGCCGUAAACGAUGUCUACUUGGAGGUUGUGGCCUUGAGCCGUGGCUUUCGGAGCUAACGCGUUAAGUAGACCGCCUGGGGAGUACGGUCGCAAGAUUAAAACUCAAAUGAAUUGACGGGGGCCCGCACAAGCGGUGGAGCAUGUGGUUUAAUUCGAUGCAACGCGAAGAACCUUACCUACUCUUGACAUCCAGAGAAGCCAGCGGAGACGCAGGUGUGCCUUCGGGAGCUCUGAGACAGGUGCUGCAUGGCUGUCGUCAG